UCGGGGGUGGUGUAAUUGGUAACACGGGUGGUUCUGGUCCAUUUGUUGGGGGUUCGAGUCCUCCCCCCCGAGC
rnacentral:tRNA from 1 species